AACGAGUCGCAAGACCGCGAGGUUUAGCAAAUCUCUUAAAGCCGUUCUCAGUUCGGAUUGUAGGCUGCAACUCGCCUACAUGAAGUCGGAAUCGCUAGUAAUCGCGGAUCAGCAUGCCGCGGUGAAUACGUUCCCGGGCCUUGUACACACCGCCCGUCACACCAUGAGAGUUUGUAACACCCAAAGCCGGUGGGGUAACCUUUUGGAGCCAGCCGUCUAAGGUGGGACAGAUGAUUAGGGUGAAGUCGUAACAAGGUAUC
rnacentral:rRNA from 1 species